AUGUCCAUCCUCCCGCUCCGGAUGAGCGCGUUGUCGAGCUUGUCCAGGUGGUUGGUGGUGAAGACGAUGAUCCGCUCGCUGCUGUGCGCGGACCGGAGCCCGUCAAUGAAGUUGAGAAGGCCGGACAGGGUGACUAUGCUGCUCCUCUGCUGCUCCCCGGCUUGCUUGGGCGGGGCCCUCAUGGUGGCGCGGCUGCCGAUCAGGUCGAGGGAGUAGUCGAUGUCCUCGACGACAAUGAUGGACUUUCCCGUGGUCUCAAUGAAUAGCUUGCACAGGUCAUUGUUGGUGGUGAGUGUGGUGAGCUCGAUGUCGUAG
rnacentral:rRNA from 1 species